AAGUCGUAACAAGGUUUCCGUAGGUGAACCUGCGGAAGGAUCAUUAUCGAGUUUUGAACGGGUUGUCUGCUGGCUCGCAAGGGCAUGUGCACGCCUGUCUCAUCCACUCUCAACUUCUGUGCACUUUUCAUAGGCCGGCUUGUGGGUGCGUUCGCGCACUUGUAGGUGUCGGGCUUAUGCUUUACUACAAACGAUUCAGUUUUAGAAUGUCAUACUUUGCUAUAACGCAAUUUAUAUACAA
rnacentral:misc_RNA from 1 species